GGUACAGAGUCCUCCCGGGGAAAUGGGGGCUGUGCUCUGCGGUCAGCAGUCCCCUGCUCUAACAAGUGUAAUUGAAGGGAUUUACUCCAUUAUCCAAUUUGAUUACAGGCGAGCUGCUGGGUAAACAGGAAAAGGGGAGGCCUGGGUGAAGCCGUGCGGCUCGAGUGGCUCUUUGGAGCUGAUCUUCAUAACCUUGUCGGUGUCUGUGCACUUGGCAGAGCCUCUCAGGCACGUCCUUUGAAGGUCUUUGCUCGCAGCAAGUGGUUCCUGUGGGCAGCUCUGACACAGGGAGAAAGAAGAAAUUGGUUUUGGAAGCCUCUGUCAGUAGAAAGGCCACAUCGAUCUCUGAACCUCCUGUUCCACUGCCAACAGAGGCUCAAGGACUCAGAGUGGAUGUAACCCAUUGCUGUCCAUCCUGAUGGAAGACCUGCCACGCUCCAGGAUGCUUCCAGGUACCGUGUCAUUAGCUACAAAUUAAGCUUUGCAAUGCUGCUGGCAGCAUGGAUCCCAUCC
rnacentral:lncRNA from 1 species